rnacentral:misc_RNA from 1 species
UAUCUGUAGGUGAACCUGCAGAUGGAUCAUUAGUUAUGUUGCUCUUGUGCGUUGCCGCCAGGCAGCGGCAGCUUGUCUGCCGAUGCUCUGGUGUGCACUUGGCACAAUUGAUUCCACUGUGUCAGAUUGGGUGUGGAAACGCAUCCGUCCUCUGUAUCAAACCGUAUUUGAUUAUUUAUAUUUCAACCACACUAUAACGAACAUACAAUGUAUGCAUACUGUGUAAUGGGCCUCCGUGAACAGUCUCCGACUGUCCACUCCUGCUCUGCACAAUAUUCAACCAAAGAAACAACGACCGUGGACAACGGAUAUCUUGGUUCUC